UGUACUGGGCGCCCAUGCACGGAUGGCCGAUCCGAAGAAGCGAUUCUUUAAUUAUUUAUGCAGUUUCGGUCUGUCGAGAAAGCGUAACUUUGAAACAACGGAUGUUUCGUAAAAAAAUCGCAUUUGUUCUAUAUGGAAGUCUUAAAAUGGUGGUUUGUAAGACAUUUUACAAAACAUUCGUCAUUUAAACCUCUUCAGAAUCUGACUAAAAAUAGUUUAGAAGCAAUAAGAAUAAUUUCACAUAAAUUGAAGAAAAAGAAGAGAAUAAAAAACACGAAUAACUUUAAAUUUACUGUGUAAAAUCCGUUUCAUAAGUGAUUUCAAAAAUAAAACCAAGUUAUGUACAGGACUUAUUUAAAACUUGAGUUGUAUAAUCUCAUAAGCCGUACCAUGUGCAGCACUUUUAAACUGACAAUAUUGGCUUAUAAAGAUAAUCAGGGUCUUUCAUACUGGGACAAACUUGGAGGGAUUCUAGAGGGCCUUAAAAUAAGGAAAUUUUGUUCAUUAAACCCCUAUUCGAAAAUUAUUAGAUUUUGAGCUGCAGGGUGAUAACAUUUUAAUAAAAAAUCUUAUUUUUCACGAUAAAUUUGACAUUCUUGUAGAUAUUUUUAUGAAAAUUAGUAGAUAGUUACUAUGCAUCUAGUACUAUUUUUUAGAACAUAAUUUUUUUAUUUUACCAGUGGCGUCCAUGCGGGCUAGAACCUAGUGAACUCUUUAAAAAUUUAUAUUUUUUCGAAAUUUAUUUCUCGCUAUAAAAUUUAAAUUUUUAGUUUCAUCUAUUUGAUAAUAUUUACGAGAUUUAUUAUAAGGAAAAAAAUUACUUACUUACUUACCAGAAAGUGAACUUUUGCCAUUGAUUAAAUGGAUAUAAGAUUAAAUUUGAUUUAUAUUGAUUAAAUGGAAAUAAGAUUUUUCAGUAGAUA